rnacentral:rRNA from 1 species
UACGGAGGGUCCAAGCGUUGUCCGGAAUCACUGGGUGUAAAGGGUGCGCAGGCGGGCGUGUAAGUCAGGGGUGAAAGCCACCGGCCCAACCGGUGAACUGCCCUUGAUACUGCACGUCUUGAGUCCCGGAGAGGCUAUCAGAAUUCGUGGUGUAGCGGUGAAAUGCGUAAAUAUCACGAGGAAUACCAGAAGCGUAGGCGGAUAGCUGGACGGGUACUGACGCUCAGGCACGAAAGCGUGGGGAGCGAACAGG